AGGGCACCACCAGGAGUGGAGCCUGCGGCUUAAUUUGACUCAACACGGGAAAACUCACCCGGCCCGGACACCGUAAGGAUUGACAGAUUGAGAGCUCUUUCUUGAUUCGGUGGGUGGUGGUGCAUGGCCGUUCUUAGUUGGUGGAGCGAUUUGUCUGGUUAAUUCCGAUAACGAACGAGACUCUAGCCUGCUAAAUAGGCAGUGGAUUCUUAGUCCACUGUACUUCUUAGAGGGACAAGCAGCGUCUAGCUGCACGAGAUUGAGCAAUAACAGGUCUGUGGUGCCCUUAGAUGUUCGGGGCUGCACGCGCGCUACACUGAAGGAAUCAACAUGCUUCUCAACCUUGCCCGGAAGGGCUAGGUAACCCGUUGAAACUCCUUCGUGAUUGGGAUAGGGAAUUGCAAUUAUUUCCCUUGAACGAGGAAUUCCCAGUAAGUGCGGGUCAUCAGCUCGCGCUGAUUACGUCCCUGCCCUUUGUACACACCGCCCGUCGCUACUACCGAUUGGAAGUAAGACGAG
rnacentral:rRNA from 1 species